GCCUGGGUGGCUCAGCCGGUUGAGUGUCUGACUUUGGAUCAGGUCAUGAUCUCGUGGGCUGUGAGCCCGAGCCCCACAUCAGGCU
rnacentral:tRNA from 1 species